rnacentral:rRNA from 1 species
UACGUAGGGCGCGAGCGUUGUCCGGAAUCAUUGGGCGUAAAGAGCUCGUAGGCGGCCGGGUGCGUCUGCUGUGAAAUCCCGGGGCUUAACCCCGGGCGUGCAGUGGAUACGGGCUGGCUGGAGGCAGGCAGGGGAGAAUGGAAUUCCCGGUGUAGCGGUGAAAUGCGCAGAUAUCGGGAGGAACACCGGUGGCGAAGGCGGGUCUCUGGGCCGAUACUGACGCUGAGGAGCGAAAGCGUGGGGAGCGAACAGG